rnacentral:RNase_P_RNA from 2 species
UCAGUGCAAAAGCUGCGAGGCUCGAUACAUGGCAGGACCGGACGUUCAUGGGACGCCUCGAUCCGAUAUUCUCGAGCGGGAAGGUCUGAGCAUAUGUGUCCUCCUCGAUCGACUCUAGCAGGGUCCGGCGGCAAACCGCCGAGCGACGUACCAGACAUGCAAUCCCGAACUCCUCAGUCCACAUCAACGAUGUGCGAUGGCCCCAAGAUCUCCGGUCGAACGGAAGGAGGGUAGGAGUUGCCCGGAUUUUGGGAAACGUCGCGAGGACUGGGCGACGGUGUCCUGACCCAGUAUUGCAUCGUAUGGUCUCGCAAGGGACCUGCGCGCUCUGCUGGGCCCGUCGCCCUUUGGUGCACUUCGCAGCUUGGGGUUAUGCUCUUCGUGAGCUUCUCAAAACUCGAUUCAGACUAUUCUUGGCCUGC